AUUGAACGCUGGCGGCAGGCCUAACACAUGCAAGUCGAACGAGUGGCGGACGGGUGAGUAAUGUAUGGGAAACUGCCUGGUGGCGGGGGAUAACUACUGGAAACGGUAGCUAAUACCGCAUACCAUCGGAUGUGCCCAGAUGGGAUUAGCUAGUUGGUGGGGUAACGGCUCACCAAGGCGACGAUCCCUAGCUGGUCUGAGAGGAUGACCAGCCACACUGGAACUGAGACACGGUCCAGACGCCUACGGGAGGCAGCAGUGGGGAAUAUUGGACAAUGGGCGCAAGCCUGAUGCAGCCAUGCCGCGUGUAUGAAGAAGGCCUUCGGGUUGUAAAGUACUUUUAGCGGGGAGGCGGUACCUGCAGAAGAAGCACCGGCUAACUCCGUGCCAGCAGCCGCGGUAAUAC
rnacentral:rRNA from 1 species